CAUGUCUUUUUAGUUAUUUAAUAUAAAGUCUGACCUGCCCACUGAAUUUAGUUUUGAAGGGCCGCAGUAUUUUGACUGUGCAAAGGUAGCAUAAUCAUUAGUCUUUUAAUUGAAGGCUGGCAUGAAUGGUUGGAUGAGGUACAAGCUGUGUCAUAAAAAUUAAUAUUUGAAUUUAACUUUUUAGUCAAAAGGCUAAAAUUUAAUUGAAAGACGAGAAGACCCUAUAGAGCUUUAUAUAAUGAUUAUUUAAUUUAUUAAGAUUUAUUAAAUUUAAUUAUUUUAUUGUAUUUUGUUGGGGUGACAAUAAAAUUUAAAAAACUUUUAUUAUUAUUUUACAUUUAUUUAUGAUUUUAUGAUCCAGUUUUAUUGAUUAUAAAUUUAAGUUACCUUAGGGAUAACAGCGUAAUUUUUUUUGAGAGUUCAUAUCGACAAAAAAGAUUGCGACCUCGAUGUUGGAUUAAGAGUAAUUUUGGGUGUAGAAGU
rnacentral:rRNA from 1 species